UACAGAGGUCUCAAGCGUUGUUCGGAUUCAUUGGGCUUAAAGGGUGCGUAGGCGGCGCGGUAAGUCGGGUGUGAAAUCUUGGAGCUUAACUCCGAAACUGCAUUCGAUACUGCCGUGCUUGAGGACUGGAGAGGAGACUGGAAUUUACGGUGUAGCGGUGAAAUGCGUAGAUAUCGUAAGGAAGACCAGUGGCGAAGGCGGGUCUCUGGACAGUUCCUGACGCUGAGGCACGAAGGCCAGGGGAGCAAACGGG
rnacentral:rRNA from 1 species